AACUUUUAAUAUUGUAUUUACAAUAAAUAUAUUCGUAUUGUAGAAAUGUAAUAUAAACUGUGGAACCCCCUUGAUCCAAAUGUUGACCAAGGGUUCAUUAAUGAUUCUACCCCAAGAGGUCUGGGGUUCGAGUCCCAGCUAUUGUGAUUUAUUAGCAAAUUUGCAGAUUAAUGGAGGCAAGUGUACAGGAGAUCUACAACGAAGUAUAAUUAUAGCCGUUUGUCAAGAUUUUACGCAGAGAAGAUAUUGAAGAUGUCCAUUAAGCGCAUGGAGAAGGAUAAGAAGAUUAUGUAAAAUUUUUUAUCUAUAUUUAUAAAUUUAUCUAGUCAUGGUAAUAUGUAGUGCAAAUAUAAAAAGAAAUCACCCAGCAUAGAAA
rnacentral:sRNA from 1 species